AGGGGGUACGCGCCAUCGGGGAAAACAACGAGCUUACAGAAGACAUACACUGAAAGGAUCGAAAGUAUAUGUCCGUUCAUUGUUUUUCGAUCUAUGUCAUGAUAAUGCUGACCCAUCCGAUCGGAAACUGUAUGAGUGCUACGUAUGGUUAAUUAGAAGUGAGACAAAAUUUUCGGAACAUUUUCGUAAAAAAAGCCAUGUCAGACUCGCGUCACGUAUAAUCAUUUUUUAUGUUUAUACGAAUGUAACUAGGAUAAUAAUUUCAUACCAGUUUAGUGUUUAUUUAGUCGUGUUUUUCGCGUACUUCAAUAGUGGCUUUCGUCACGCUACCGUCGUGGAUAUAAGAACGUUGCGAAAUUCAACUUGAAUAUACCGUUACUAUCUGCAGCGCGUGUAUCAACAACAAACCGAUAACGGCAUAAACAUUGUCCUGUAGCGGGCUAGCAGAAACGAAAAACGGUCGAAAACUUUUUCCUAUAGCACUUCAACAAGCACUAUUUUCGCUAGUGAUCGGUUUGACUUUGGUAUUCGAGCCCAGCCCACAUUACAUUUUUGUCAAGAUAUCAUCUAGUGCUACGAGUUUAAUGGGACCCACAAACAGGCCCAAAAUGCGAAUAGCUUGAUGUAAAGCUUGAGGAGAACUAGGAAUACUGCAAAAUACAAAACGGUUAGGUGAACAUAACCUGUCAUCGUUCCACUCGCAACUGUUCGGGGUUUUUGCUGCCAACCCAGAGACGCUGAAAUACCAAUAUGACCCAUAGUUGAGCCAACGGGUCCCGGAGGGCAGGUCAAACCAAUUCAUCAACGUUCUGCAGAAGCUAAAACACCACCAAUAGCGGGAAAGCUGAAACGGUCACAGCACUUCAGUGCAUUAAUGGCUGUCGUCGUGUUAAAAGCCUUGCCGAUAUCCAGGAAACUUAAUUUUCUUCGAAAGAGAAACCUGUUGCUUCUUCGAUAAGCACGUUUCCUAUAAUGCUUACUGACUAACACAUGGACACACCUACGCACUCGAGAUAGCACGAAACACAUGAAUUUUAUAGGACAACGACAACAGCCGAACUAUUUGUCAGGUACGCAUUCUAAACGCCAAUAAAUCAUGUCCUAGUAGGCGGAACAGAAUAUACUGCGAAACAAGAGUACUACAUCUGCCUUUUGUGCCCUACUUAUCGUUUCAUUGAUUUCUGGG